UGGAGAUUGUUGAAUUGUGGCCAAGUGGACAACAAAACAAAACAACUUUCGGCUAAUAAACAAACCAAAAUAAAAAAAAAGGUGAAAGACAUCAUGAUGAGGAGGCAUCAUGAUUAUGUUUGUUGAAAAGAAAAGUUGAUGGUCAUGAUGAUGUUUUUGAAUUUUUUAUUGGGUGAUAAUGAUGUCUCUUUGGCUUUUUCUUAAAGAAAAGAAUAAGGGUUCGGUUGGUGCAAUAAGAGAAAAAAAAAAGGCUCAUUUUGUUUUAGAGAAGAGUGAGUAGAGAGCUGCAGAGAAAAGGAGUGCAUCAGAAAAAUAGAAAGGGUGCAGCAACCCUUCGUUGAAGAGAAGAAGAAAGUGCUCUUCUUUUUGUUAGCAAUCAUCCAUCAUAAUUGUUGUUGUAAUAGCUUUGAGCUAUAUGUAUAGAGAAGAAAUUAUACAUUAUAUUUCUUUCUCUAUUUGUUUCUGUGGUGUGUGAGAGCUAUUGGGUGUAUUGGGUUAUUUGGGUUGUGAGAUUGCCAACACUUUGUAA
rnacentral:lncRNA from 1 species